UUCGGGCUCGGCCCGAUCCUCCCACCCUUUGUGUACCUACCUCUGUUGCUUUGGCGGGCCGCGGUUCUCCGCGGCCGCCCCCCUCCCCGGGGGGUGGCCAGCGCCCGCCAGAGGACCAUCAAACUCCAGUCAGUAAACGAUGCAGUCUGAAAAACAUUUAAUAAACUAAAACUUUCAACAACGGAUCUCUUGGUUCUGGCAUCGAUGAAGAACGCAGCGAAAUGCGAUAAGUAAUGUGAAUUGCAGAAUUCAGUGAAUCAUCGAAUCUUUGAACGCACAUUGCGCCCUUUGGUAUUCCGAAGGGCAUGCCUGUUCGAGCGUCAUUACAACCCUCAAGCUCUGCUUGGUAUUGGGCACCGUCCUUUGCGGGCGCGCCUCAAAGACCUCGGCGGUGGCGUCUUGCCUCAAGCGUAGUAGAACAUACAUCUCGCUUCGGAGCGCAGGGCGUCGCCCGCCGGACGAACCUUCUGAACUUUUCUCAAGGUUGACCUCGGAUCAGGUAGGGAUACCCGCUGAACUUAAGCAUAUC
rnacentral:rRNA from 1 species